AGUGAACGCUGGCGGUAGGCCUAACACAUGCAAGUCGAACGGCAGCACAGUAAGAGCUUGCUCUUACGGGUGGCGAGUGGCGGACGGGUGAGGAAUACAUCGGAAUCUACUUUUUCGUGGGGGAUAACGUAGGGAAACUUACGCUAAUACCGCAUACGACCUACGGGUGAAAGCAGGGGAUCUUCGGACCUUGCGCGAUUGAAUGAGCCGAUGUCGGAUUAGCUAGUUGGCGGGGUAAGGCCCACCAAGGCGACGAUCCGUAGCUGGUCUGAGAGGAUGAUCAGCCACACUGGAACUGAGACACGGUCCAGACUCCUACGGGAGGCAGCAGUGGGGAAUAUUGGACAAUGGGCGCAGGCCUGAUCCAGCCAUACCGCGUGGGUGAAGAAGGCCUUCGGGUUGUAAAGCCCUUUUGUUGGGAAAGAAAAGCAGCAGGUUAAUACCCCGCUGUUCUGACGGUACCCAAAGAAUAAGCACCGGCUAACUUCGUG
rnacentral:rRNA from 1 species